rnacentral:rRNA from 1 species
CACGUAGGGUGCGAGCGUUGUCCGGAAUUAUUGGGCGUAAAGCGCGCGCAGGCGGUCCUUUAAGUCUGAUGUGAAAUCCCGUGGCUUAACCACGGGCGGUCAUUGGAAACUGGGGGACUUGAGUGCAGAAGAGAAGAGCGGAAUUCCACGUGUAGCGGUGAAAUGCGUAGAGAUGUGGAGGAACACCAGUGGCGAAGGCGGCUCUUUGGUCUGUAACUGACGCUGAGGCGCGAAAGCGUGGGGAGCGAACAGG